rnacentral:rRNA from 1 species
AAACACGACGCUUCCAACGCGACCCCAGGUCAGGCGGGGCUACCCGCU